GGCUGCUGGCGAUGCUAAACUGUCCUCUCGCUCCGAUGACAUCACAGAGAUCAGCUGAUUGUGAGGUCACCAGAACCCGUGAAGAGUUCUGCAGGAAGUCUGAGCGUCUCAGUCGUGAUGUGGCACCAAAAGAACAGAGAGGAAGCGAGGCAGUGGGAGGAGAGGAAGAGGAGGAGGUGAAAAGGAGGCACCAUCUGCCACACGACGGAGGAGAAGAAGACCGUAAGAAAAUCCUCCGAGGCUGCAGGUUUUUCACAGUUAAAGAGAAGAGGAGGAGGACGGAGCGAGGCGUUAGAGACAGAGGCAACA